rnacentral:misc_RNA from 1 species
GGUGUAAACUAAAGUUUAGUCCUUGUCUAGUGGGGUACGUGUAAAGUUUAGUCCUUGUUCACAGUGGGGUAGGUGUAAAGAGUUUGCCUGAGCAUGAACAGCUUGGUUGUCUACCUUAUUUCAGUGUCAUCGGAGUCGUUCAGAUGGUCAACAAAGAAAGUGGACCUUUCACGAAAGCUGACGAAGAAGCCUUUGCCACGUUUGCUACUUAUUGUGGACUCGCUCUUCAUCAUGCCAAGUUGUACGAUAAAAUACGUCGUUCCGAACAGAAAUACAAGGUGGCGCUAGAAGUUCUAUCUUACCAUAGCACGUGCACGGAAAUGGAAGUCAACGAGAUUAAGCAUUCUCCUCCUUUACCAAGCGCGCAGUCGUUGGUCGAAUUCCACUUUUCUCCGUUUUCUCUGGAUUCUGAGCAGAAAGUUUCUGCCGCCAUAUAUAUGUUCAUUGAUCUUUUCGGGCUUCAGAGGUUCGAUCAGGACUGUUUGAUUCGAUUCACCCUAACAGUGAGGAAGAACUAUCGAAGAGUACCGUACCACAACUGGGAACAUGGAUUUAGUGUGGCUAAUUCCAUGUACGCCAUCAUUAAAAGUUCACCGGAAGUUUUCACACCUUCAGAGAAACUGGCGCUUUUCGUUGCCUGUUUGUGCCACGAUCUGGACCACAGGGGGAAAAACAACCAGUUUCUUGUGAAGUCUGCCUCUCCCCUCGCGGCGAUAUACACCACAUCUACUUUGGAGCAUCACCAUUUUAACCAAACCGUCUCAAUUCUUCAGCAAGAGGGACACAACAUCUUUAAGAACCUGACUUCUGAUGAAUAUAAAAAAGUGCUGAGAAAUAUAAAGCAUUGUAUCCUAGCAACAGAUUUGGCUUUGUUUUUUCCGAAUCAAAUCAAACUAAGAAAAAUCCUUGAUGAAAAGACAUUUGACUGGGAUUCUAAUGAGCACAGGCUCUUGUUGGAAGCAAUAGCCAUGACUGCCUGUGAUCUGUGUGCCAGCACGAAACCAUGGGAAGAACAGCGGAAGACAGUGAAAGUGAUUUUUGAAGAGUUUUACGAACAGGGUGAUGCCGAGAGGGAGCAAGGAAGAUCACCCGUGCCCAUGAUGGACCGAACUAAACCCCAGGAGCAACCGGCUUCACAGGUGGGUUUCCUCACAGCUAUAUGCAAGCCUUGCUACGAGCUUCUGGCAGCUGUUAUACCAGAAAGUAGGCCAAUGUUAAAUGGUUGUUUAAGAAAUUUAGCUCAGUGGCAGUCCCUGGUUGAACAGUUGAAAGAGUCAGAAGAGAACCAGCCUAUGUCUGUUCAGUCCGAAGAAGAAAAUGUGAAAGAAUUAGAACAGAAGACUGAUGGUGAAAAAUGAAUACUUAUUUAAAGUGGAAGAUACUGAAGAGAAUUCUCACUAGAAACGAUAAACAGAUUUCAAAAUAUAGUAACGGUACAACAAAGUAUAUAUAUGUGUAUAUGUUUCAGCAUAUUUUGAAAUAUGUAUAUUUAUUAUUCUAGCGGUUUUCAGAAUUAAAAUCCUUGCAGAGAACUGUCAAAAAUGCAUGUAUAUAAUACGUGAACUGAGAUUUGAAAGUAUUUUAGUAAUUUUGUGGCAAGUCGAUACCAAUUAAAUGUUCUAAAAUUAAUUGUCGACUUUGUUUUGAGUAGUGGUCUACAGUAAAGUUACAUUUACUGGAAACUUGUUUUAUUAUGUAGAUCAAACAAGUGUAAUUAAACUGGGAUCUAGAGUGUAUGUGGUAAGGAAGUGAACUGGGAUCUAGAGUGUAUGUGGUAAGGAAGUGAGCUGGGAUCUAGAGUGUAUAUGGUAAGGAAGUGAACUGGGAUCCAGAGUGUAUAUGGUAAGGAAGUGAGCUGGGAUCUAGAGUGUAUAUGGUAAGGAAGUGAGCUGGGAUCGAGAGUGUAUAUGGUAAGGAAGUGGGCUGGGAACAACAUUAGAUAUUGUAAGAACAAGUUAAAACAAACAAGUUGAAUAUUGUGAUACACAUUUCUCAAGAUCUUUUAGUUUAACUGGUAAUUCACUAAGUUGCCAGUCAUUCAGUUCGAUAAUGAUUUAUUGAAAAAGUUUUAACAAAUUUAGUUUCAUUUAAAUUUGAAAAG